UACGGAAGGUCCGGGCGUUAUCCGGAUUUAUUGGGUUUAAAGGGAGCGUAGGCCGCAUGUUAAGCGUGUUGUGAAAUGUAGAUGCCCAACAUCUGAAUUGCAGCGCGAACUGGCAUGCUUGAGUACGCACAACGUUGGCGGAAUUCGUCGUGUAGCGGUGAAAUGCUUAGAUAUGACGAAGAACUCCGAUUGCGAAGGCAGCUGACGGGAGCGCAACUGACGCUGAAGCUCGAAAGUGCGGGUAUCGAACAGG
rnacentral:rRNA from 1 species